GGUCCCCGUGGGACGUGUGUGCAGGAGACAUCAGCUGCCAUCUACAGGCGAAUCACAGGGACGGGGAGGAUGAAGAGAAUGGGUGGAGGUGGCUCCUGAAGCCUUGGGGAAGGAGAAAAGGAGGCUAAAUCUUGCAAGACAGUGAAGAAUAAAUAAAGACGCAGAGCAGAAAAAGGAAGGAGUGGAAUCCUCCUGGAAGACAUCCUCCUGGAAGACAAAAUAGAGAAGAUGGCUUCACUCCUAAAUUGCAGCGAGAAGCAUCAGGUGCCCAGCCAAUGAGGCUGUCAAGGACCCUUCCGUGAGCAGUCUUCUCCCUCCUCGAUGCACAUGGCUGCUUAGGGCAGAAACCAGGCUGUGUGCAGCUGCUGGAAAGAGAUGGGUGUUAACCUUCCAGCAGCCACCGAGUGGACAGCCCUAUCUCUACAGCUCAUCUCUGGGCUCUGUGCUGGCCCCUCAUCUCCCAUGGCCUGAGCCUCGUGGAGGGACACUGUCACAGUCCUACCAAGGAGGCUGAGUUGAGCGAGAUGAUGUGGAAAUGCUCCCCUACAUUGAAUGUAAAUCCUUGCCAUGCAGCCAGCUUAAGCACGGUUCUCCCACCCGAGAUGUCAAGACAGAGAAGAAGGAGUCAGAGGGGCCCUCUUCCUCAGCAAGGACGUCGUCCAGGUCCAUGGUUGCAGCUCACCACAGUGGGAAGCCACUGAAGACAGGAGACUCCAUAGCUCCACCUCACAAAUUGUUAGAGGAGGGAUGGGUCCCGGACUCACCAGGACGCCCUUCAGAGGAGCGGGUGAGACGGCUACUUCAGACAUCACGGCUGCUGGGGCGUUAGAUGCAUAAAGGUCAGAGGAGCCUGCGUCUGGAGCCUCCUCUGGGCUCCCCAUAGCAGCAGCACCAAACACACUGUGUUCAUGACCCAUUACACCAGCGGAGGAGCCACGGCCAUGAAAUUGCAAAACAUUUUCCGUCCUCAGCCCCUGUUCUGGUAACUUCACUUCUCAUCGCUCAGAUUUCUAGAUUUUCCAUAUUUGCCUGAGAUGAAUGAAUGACUAGACUCAAGAGUUUUGUUUGGGUUUGUUUUUUUUUUUUUUUUUUUCAGUGGAAUGUUUGGAAAAUUACUGCUAACACUACAAUGAUCCUCUUUCUCUGGUUUGAUUUUUUUUUUUUUAAGAAAUUGGGGUUGGAAUAAUUUUUUCUUCUUCUUCUAAAAGGUACCUAAAGAUUUAGAUUUGUAGUACAAGGACCA